rnacentral:piRNA from 1 species
UAGGAAGCUGUAGACAGAGAAAAAGUCAGU